rnacentral:rRNA from 1 species
UACGGAGGGGGGCUAGCGUUGUUCGGAAUUACUGGGCGUAAAGCGCACGUAGGCGGCUUUGUAAGUUAGAGGUGAAAAGCCCCGGGGGCUCAACUCCGGAAUUGCCUUUUAAGACUGCAUCGCUAGAAUUGUGGAGAGGUAAGUGGAAUUCCGAGUGUAGAGGUGAAAUUCGUAGAUAUUCGGAAGAACACCAGUGGCGAAGGCGACUUUACUGGACACAUAUUUGACGCUGAGGUGCGAAAAGCGUGGGGGAGCAAAACAGGGAUUAGAAA